UACGGAAGGGGCAAGCGUUGUUCGGAAUCAUUGGGCGUAAAGGGCGCGUAGGUGGUUCUGUAUGUCUUCCGUGAAAGCAUACAGCUCAACUGUAUUUUGUCGGUAGAAACUGCAGGACUUGAGGCUGGGAGGGGCUGGUGGAAUUCCCUGUGUAGCGGUGAAAUGCGUAGAGAUGGGGGAGAACACUCGUGGCGAAGGCGGCCAGCUAGACCAGUUCUGACACUGAGGCGCGACAGCGUGGGGAGCAAACAGG
rnacentral:rRNA from 1 species